CCCCCCCCCCCCGCCGCCUCAGAAUGAAUAAAGCCAGGCGGGAGGAACAGUUGGCCGAGGGUGGAGGUUGGCCUAGUGAACCUUUGCCUUAGUCUGGUUCAGCUAGGGUCAGGAGUAAUGCAAGCUACUCCCUCUUUGAUCUCCGGAGUGACCAGAGAUCUCUCUGGUAGCUUUUUGGAGAGAAUCUGUGUCCCGUUGGAGAGCAAGAGGAGAGAUUUUGAAAAGCUGGUCUUGAGAUGGCAUGAUGUCAUCAAAUCAAAUUUAUAGAGCGGUUUCAGAAGGCCAGGCCCAGGGAAUGAGGGGUGCUGAUUGGUUUACCAAGUUCAGGAUCCAAACCCUGCCUGGAAAGCUUGGUAGAUGACCCUGGACAAAUCAUUGACCCCUUCUGGAUAAAUAAUUGCCCUGGCAAAAUGAAGGGCACAUUCUGGUCCCCAGGACCCUUCUUCUUCCUGACUAGUGAGUUUUCGGGGAGGGGGAAGAUGAGUCAUUCUGCCUGUACUAUAGGCUAGACUGGGGAAGCCUUAUCCCCUUCCCCUUGUUUCUCUGAUUCAGAAAUGGACUCAUAGGCAGGCAUGGUGUCAAAUACCUGUGAUCCCAACCAGGACAAGACAAUCAGGAACUCAGUCAUCUUCAGCUACACAGGGAGUCUUGUGACCAGCCUGAGGAGAAAAAGAGGCAGACAGAGAAAGGGGCUGUUAAUGUCAACAUCAGUAGCAUUUUUUUUUUUUUUGAGACAGGGUCUCAUAUAGCUCAGGCUGACCUGAAAUAAAUCGGAGGAUGACCUUGAACUGUGAUCCUCCUGCCUUCUUUUGUCUUAUGAAAUUACAAAAUUGCAUCAUCACAGCCAAUUUUAUGUGAUUAGCCCAUGCACACUGUACAUGCACACAUGGGGAUCAGAAGGCAACUUGUUGAAGUUGGUAUCUCCCUCCACUGUGAGUCCAGGGAUUAAACUCAGGCCAUCAGGAAGCACCUUUACCCUCUGAGCGGUCUCCAGGGCUCCUACUGUUGCUAUUGUCUUGAGACAAGGUAUCAUGCUGGCUUCAAACUUACUAAGUAACUAUUGUUUUCUUUCUUUCUCCCCCCCCCCCCAGCUGGGGACCGAACCCAGGGCCUUGCGUUUGCUUGUCAAGUGCUCUACCACUGAGCUAAAUCCCCAACCCUCUUUCUUUUUUUUUUUUUUAAGAUUUAUUUAUUUAUUUUAUGUGAGUACACCCUUGUUGUCUUCAGACACACCAGAAGAGGGCAUCAGAUCGCCAUGACAGAUGGUUGUGAACCACCAUGUGGUUUCUGGGAAUUGAACUCAGGACCUCUGGAAGAGCAGUCAGUGCUCUUAACCACUGAGCCAUCUCUCCAACCCCUAUUGUUGGUCUUGAACACCUGAUCCUCCUGCCUCCUGCUCCAAAGUGUUGAGAUUAUAAAUCUACCAACAUGCUCUCCUGUGCCCAAAAAUUCUAAUCACAGUGAAAUGAAUAUAAUGCUACUGGCCUUGGAAAUUGACUGAUUAGUUGAAUUGGUGUGCUGGAUUACUUGAAAUGAUAAAGGGGAUGGUGGAGGAGGAGAAGGAGGUAGAGGCCAAUAUUCUUAUAAAUUGUGUGUUGUGGGCCUGGUGGUAUAGAUAAUACCAGCUACUCUAGAGAGAUUGAAGCAUGAAGAUUAAAAUGUCAAGGCCUGCCCAGUCAAUUUAGAAAGAUGCUGUCUCAAAAUAAAAGGUUAGCUGGACAUGGUGGCACCCACCUUUCAGGCAGGUCUCUGAGUUCAAGGCCAGACUGGUCUACACAGAGAAAUCAUGCCUUGAAAAACUGAAGUGGGGGGGUAGUGAAAAUGAUAGAGGACUAGUCUGGCAUCUUGAAAGCCCUAUGUUCAAUGCCCAGCACCGUACAUACACACACAGCAACAUUAAUAAUGAUAAUAGUAAAAAAAAAAUACAGCUAAACUAUAACGAUAAGUAAAAUAAAAUAAACUAAGAUGUCGGCUGCACAUAUAGGCAGAAUCCCUUGCCAGUUCCAGGCCAACCUGGAGUACAUUCUAAGACUUAGUUUCAGUAAAUAAAUAAGGCUGGGUGUGGUGGCGUAUAUCUGUCAUCUCGCUCCUUGAGGCAGAGGCAGGCAGAUCUCUGUGAGUUCCAGGCCAGCAUGGUCUACAUAGUGAGUCUCAGGCCAGCAAGGGCCACACAAUGAGACCCUGUCUCAUAAAUAAAUGAAUAAAUAAAUGAAUGGAUCCCGUCUGCAGGUCAUAGUGCAUAAAGGAAAAGAAUGUGGCUUUAGACUUUGAUUUGUUUUGGUUUUUGGUUCUUUUUGACACAGGGUUUCUCUGUGGAGCCCUUGCUGUCCUGGAACUCGAUUUAUAAACCAGACUGGCAUCGAACUCAUAGAGAUCCUCCUGCCUCCAUCUUCCAAGUGUUGGGAUUAAAGAGCUGGGGACCGAACCCAGGGCCUUGCGCUUGCUAGGCAAGUGCUCUACUGCUGAGCUAAAUCCCCAACCCCCCAAAUAAAUAAAUCUUAAAAAAAAAAGUGCUCCAAGGAGGUAGCCACUGCCACCCUAUUUUCUUGCCAGCCUUUCCACUGUAGAGAAGCAACUUGGGGAACAAGAUUGGCAAACUCCAUGCUGCCCCAUGCAAAAGUGACAGGCUGCUAUGGCUCUGUGCUGGUGUGCCACAUCCCUGCUCUCAGAGAUGCUCUACUACUGGGCCAGCACCUGGAUGCUGUCUUGCUUCCUGCCAUGAUGAUAGUGACUAAACCCCCGAACGAUCACCCAUUCCAUAUCACACAGUAAAAGAAACUGAAGUGGACACGUAUAUAAAGGCUUACCGAAUGGCUGGAAAGAGUUUAAGAAGCCAUAGGGAAACUCAAAGGCUUUCAAAAAUCCUGAGGCAAAAAAGCUCGGAAGCUAACAGAACACAAGGAGAAACUCUACCUUGUCCCAAAUUGUAACGGCUGGAGUAAAGUUAAGAACAGCUGCUCUUCUAGAGGACUCCAGUUCAAUUCCCAGCACCCUCCUGGCAGAUCACAGAUGUCUGUAACUCCAGUUCUAGGGGAUCUGACACCAUCAUACAGACACACAUGCAGGUUAAACACCAAUACAUGUGAAAUAAAAUAAGUUAAAAAAGGAAAAAAAAUAAAGACAAAGAAAAAAAUUCAAUCCCCACAUGGCCCAAAUAUUGUGAAAGCCUUGGUUUUUGUAAAGAGAGAAAAAAAAACCCUCUUUGUUUGAAUGAUGUAAUUUUUAUCUUUCCUUGGGUCAAAGUCAAGACCUAAGGUCAACUGUGAGGUCUUGAGUAAAGACUGAUGCAUGCAAAUCCUUCUUCUGCUGUGCAUUGGUUCGUCAGACAUCCAGCAUGUAAUUCAUGGUAUUAUGUGUGUUGUUGGGUCCUGGAUGUGGAGAGAAGAAGGAUAAGGAGGAGGGGGAGGAGGAGGAUGAGGAGGAUGAGAGGAAGAGGAAGAGGAGGAGGGGAGAAAGAGGGGGAAGGAGGAAGAGGAGGAGGAGGAGGAAGAGGAGGAGAAGAGGGCUGGAGAGAUGGCUCAGUGGUUAAGAGCACUGACUGCUCUUCCAGAGAUCCUGAGUUCAAAUCCCAGCAACCACAUGGUGGCUCACAACCAUCUGAAAUGGGAUCUGGUACCCUCUUCUGGUGUGUCUGAAGACAGCAACAGUGUGCUCAUAUACAUUAAAUAAAUAAAUCUUUUCAAAAGAAGAAGAAGAGG